CUUGGAACCCUGGACCACCAUGUGACUGAACACUAACUUGCCUGCUGGAGAACAAGAAGCCACGCAGAGGAUAACAGUGGUGCCACUGAGCCUCAACACUUUGGCUGUUUUGCUAGGAAGUGGGUCCAUGAACUCCUCACUCUGCCAACUUGGAGGUGGAACUUCUCCACUGGAAAUUUCCCCAGCCAGAGAUGCCAUUUCUGCUUGAAGCCCUGAACCAAACUGCAUUAUUUAUUAACUCUUCCAAAGGAGCUCUCUUCAGACAUUGCUGUAGGAGCUAUCGAGCUUGCCACCUGCCUGCUGCUUUGACUGCUAAGGAGCAAUGGACCUAGCCAUGGUGUUUGGAGCUCUGGGAAGUAUGAAAAAACAAGAUGUUCUUCAGAAGGAACAGUGAAAACCAGGAGGCUUAGUGACUUGUUCAGGGUGUAAAUAAAACAAAGGGGUCUCUCCACCAUUCCAUCAAAAUUGUGUGAUUGGUUCACCAAGGUGUAAUAAAGGGAAAAAUAUUCCAGAUGAAAUCCCACGCUGAAAAAAGAAUACCUGUCACUUUAGGCUGUCCUUUGCCAUCUCUCUUAGAAAUUUGGACCUAGUGAAUGGAAAUUAAAGAAUGAGGAAUCUUAAGACCACCUAAUUAUAGUCUUACCUAU